UCUGAUAUAAACAUAUCUUGCAGAUGAGUUAGAUGUCAAGGCUGCACUGAACAAUCAAAUGGUCCAAUCAACAUUGAAACUUGCAGACUAAAAGACAUCUAGAAAUGUAAUAGAGAUUUAAUGUGGUCAUCAUUUUUUUUAAUUACAUAUACACUACGACAUGGAGGAUACACACAUGACGAAUGAUAGAUAGCAUGCAUGCUGCCGCCAAUCUUCUUGGCACCAUCUUCUUUUUGUUUAACUAUAGGAGCCUUUCAAGAAAUCAUUGUCAUCCUAUUCGUCAGCACUCAUGCCAAGCCAUCAUCGGUUGUCACAGCUAAGCUUCCUCCAAAUCCAAUUCAUCCUCCAAUCACCACCAUGUAUCUACACCCAAAUAUUCCUAUCAAAAUAUCAUGGUAAAACUGCACACCAAUCAAUGGAUGACAGCCCUUUGCUUUCUUUACUUGGAAUGUGCAAGUGGGGAUGAUGCAUGAGGAUGAGAUGUUUAAAUAUAAAUUCUCAUGACCGUAUCACCCCUUCUUCCAUAACCCCCACCCAUUGUUUUGGUUGCUGAUGGCUCCUCUUCCUUUAAUUAGAAUUAGCAAGC
rnacentral:lncRNA from 1 species